rnacentral:rRNA from 1 species
UACGGAGGGUGCAAGCGUUAAUCGGAAUUACUGGGCGUAAAGCGUGCGCAGGCGGUUUGUUAAGUCUGCUGUGAAAUCCCCGAGCUCAACUUGGGAAUUGCAGUGGAUACUGGCAGGCUGGAGUAUGGUAGAGGAAGGUGGAAUUCCCGGUGUAGCAGUGAAAUGCGUAGAGAUCGGGAGGAACACCAGUGGCGAAGGCGGCCUUCUGGACCAUUGUUGACGCUGAGACACGAAAGCGUGGGUAGCAAACAGG